rnacentral:rRNA from 1 species
UACGUAGGGUGCAAGCGUUGUCCGGAAUUAUUGGGCGUAAAGAGCUCGUAGGCGGUCUGUCGCGUCGGCUGUGAAAACCCGGAGCUCAACUCCGGGCCUGCAGUCGAUACGGGCAGACUGGAGUUCGGCAGGGGAGACUGGAAUUCCUGGUGUAGCGGUGAAAUGCGCAGAUAAUCAGGAGGAACACCGGUGGCGAAGGCGGGUCUCGUGGGCCGAUG